UUUUGGCCAGAAUCAAAUACUUUUCAUUGAUAUCUAGUAAAACCAUAACCCCUUUUCGGAGUCUCAAAACAGAGCAAGUCUCUAAGGGCCUGCGGAGGACAAAUCAACCAGUGAUCAGCGAGUGUUUUGUUCAUGUGGGUCUUCGCUACCCAGUCCGCGACACUGUUUGUAUUUCUAUUACAGUAUUGCAGUUUUAAAUUUGUAAAGAGAGACAGCAACCCACGUGCUUCAGUAAUGAGUACCUGCUGUUCCCACGGCAGUGCUUGUGAAGACUUCAAGGUGUUGACCAGGUUUAGACAAUCUGACUGGACAGUCAGUCUUUCAUCAGCACGUGAGGAGAGAAAUUUGAGGGUUUCUACCAUUGCUAGGCAUUCGGCUUGCUCGGCUGAGGAGGCAGGAACGUCCUUUGCAAAUCCGUCAAUCAGGGUUCCAGCUGAGUCGCGGCACAUACAGGCGAUUGAUCCUUCGAGUGAUCCAGGUUGGUGACCUGCAUCUAUAUUGAUUUUCGUUUCGCCCCUUUCUGGAGGAGUCCAGGCGUCUUCUCCUUCACUGUUCUCGGCUGCGCUUUCGUUGUCAAGGUUGUUCCACCUGCUGAAAUUUCUGAGCAAUUGAUGUCCUCUUUCAACCAGCAGCUUUGGAUCUGGGAGGUGCCUUCUAAAGACAAAAUUGUUUCUUGCUUUCCAGAUUUCCCAGAAGACUACCGAGAUUAUCUCUACACCAGUACAGGGACAUCUCAGACUUCCCUCAUCCAUUUACAGAGAAGAAGUAAAUGUUUCGGGGUCUCCACAUGCGCUCGGCAUAUUGGGCAUAGUGGGUCAGAUUCUGUUCCAUAGCUGAGUUGGGGAUUGAUGAGAGGACGAGGCACUUUGAGCUUCUGUUGUUUCGUUUUUACGGAGAGUGUUGUAUCCGCUCUUUACCGUGUACUCUCCUUCCCUCGUACCUGUCCAUAUCAAUUUAUCUUCAUUUAUCUGUGGUCUAAUAUGUAUAGUGAGGAUCUCACACACCACCUGUUCUUCGAAUAUUCUUCGUAGGACCCGUUCCUUCCAAGUGCUUGCCUCUUGAUUCACAAGUUCAUAAACCAUAGUUGGGUCUCCUUCAUUUGCCGGUCCCCUUAUAGUUCCCUAGUUGAGCCACUUAUCUUCCCUGAUGUUAAUUUUUUGACCAUUACCAACUGACCACAUGACCGAGUCUUCAAUUGCCGUUCUCCCCAUAAGUAUGCUCUGCCAUCCUCAAGAUGGUCUGGAUCCCUUCUCUGCCUUCCAAAAGCACUUAGUUGGGUAAUAUAAGCCUUUUAGGACCUGACUGGACAGAGAUGUCUGGUUUUUAGCUAAUAGCCAAGCCUGUUUUCUAAGCAUGGCUUUGUUGAAUGCUAUUAAGUCCCUAAACCCUAGGCCUCCCCUGUCUUUUCCCUGUUUUAGCAUUGCGGCCUUCCUCCAGUGUACUCCUUUUGUUGCUGUUUGGUUCUUCCACCAGAAAGCUGUUAUUUUUUGCUUAAUAGCCCGGCAAACUGAAAGUGGGAUCUUGAAAAUUGACAUGGCAUAUUGAGGUAAUGCUUGGACAACAGUUUUUAACAUAAUUUCUUUCCCUGCUUUAGACAUCAUGUUCUCUUUCCACCCUUCAAGCUUCAUAUUUACCCUUGCCAGAAUCCAAGCAAACAUUUGCUUUUUGGAUGUUCCCCAAUAAGAGGGAAUACCCAGGUACUUUCCUGUCUUAUCAAUCUCCGGGACUCUUAGUUCUCUAGCCAUGUUCCUUCUUAAUGCACUAGGGCUGUCUUUGCUGAAGAAUAUACCUGACUUGUUCAAGUUCACUGCUUGUCCUGAAGCGUAGCAAUACUGGUGAAUUAUGCUAGCAAGGUUCUAGCAUUCUUGUAACGUCCCAUCUAGAAAGAAAAUUGAAUCAUCUGCGAAUAGUAGAUGAGAUAGUACAGGAUAAUGUCUGUUCAAUUUGAUCCCCUUUAUAGUGCCAUCUUGCACAGCCUUUUUCAUCAACAUUGAUACGAAGUUUGCAACCGGUAUGAAUAGGUAUGGGGAUAAAGGGUCCCCCUGCCUUAUUCCUCUAGUAGGCUGGAAGUAAUUCAAUGGUUCCCCAUUCACCUUGAUACUCAGUGAGGUUGUUGUAACACAUUGCAUUAUCAGGUUUACCCAUCUUUCAUUGAACCCCAUUUUUAGCAUACCGGCCUUCAGAAAGUCCCAUUCGAUCCGAUCGUAUGCCUUUUGCAUGUCUAGCUUUAAGACCGCCUGAAAUUUUUGUUUUCUCCUUCGAACCCUUAGCUGGUGCAAAACUUCCUGGACUACAAGGAUAUUGUCUUGGAUUUGCCGUCCUUCUACAAAGGCACUCUGUUCAACUUCAAUUAACUCCGGGAGCCAUGAUUUCAACCUAUUUGCUAGCACUUUUGAGAUGAUCUUAUAAGCAAAAUUGCACAAGCUUUAGGCCUAAACUCUUCCAGCUUCUCUGGGUUUUUAACUUUUGGCACCAAGGAUAUAAGCGUUCUAUUUAAUUGGGGAUUCAACAGUCUAGUUUGGAAGAAGUUUCUGACCUCUUAAAAUACUUCCUAUUUUAUAUCUUCCCAGUAGUGUUGAAAGAACUGGCCAUUCAAUCCAUCUGGACCCGGGGCCUUAGAGAUUCCAAGCUGGAAAGUUGCUUGUUUAACCUCAUCCAUCGUUACUUCUUGAAGCAGCCUAAGGUUAGUUUCCUCCUUCACACUACAAGAGCAAUGCUGAAGAAUUGGGUCAAAUUGUCGAUGUCCAACUGAGGUAUAUAGAUCUCUAAAGAAAUUAGCACUCAUCCUCUUUAGUUGUUCUUGAUCUCGGGUCCAAUUCCCUUCUGCAUCUUUCAACAUAGAAAUUUUGUUUCGUUGUCUCCGCUGAAUAGUGGAAGCGUGAAAAAACUUUGUAUUUUGAUCCCCCCCACUUGAGCCAGUUUAUCCUCGAACGCAUUGCCCAGUACAUUUCCUCCUGACUCCAUAGCCGUUGAACAUCAUUCCUUAACUUUUGUAGUUGUUCUUUUUCCUCUUCAGCAGUUUGCCUAUUUGUUAUGUACUGGAUUUGUUCCAUUAAAAGCUUUAUUCUUGACUGCCCAUUUGAGAACUUCUUGCUCCAGCUUUGUAAUGUAGCAGCAGUAUUGGUCAUCCUGCUCGGGAGGCCCUCAGUUGCUGACAUCAAAGAAUUCCAUGCCUUAUUAAUCACUCCUCUGCAUUCCUCAUCUUCUAGCCAAAAUGCUUCAAAGAGCAUGGCUAGCCUCUGGUCUGCAUCUUCUUCCGACUCCAUGGAGGUCGUUUGACACUGGUGCUUCUGAAGUUUCCCGCACCAUAU